rnacentral:tRNA from 1 species
GGUCUGUUAGGGUAGUCCGGCCAAUCCUGCUAGGUUUUCGACCUGGCGACACGGGUUCGAAUCCCGUACAGACCA